rnacentral:rRNA from 1 species
UGCAGAAUCCCGUGAACCAUCGAGUCUUUGAACGCAAGUUGCCCCCGAAGCCGCCAGGCCGAGGGCACGCCUGCCUGGGCGUCA